UUUUUUUUUUUAAAGACAGUGGUUGCCAUGUUUCCUCCCAAAAAGUGUGAGACCUCAUCCUUCUCAACUGCUCAUAUCUUCCAUGUAGUGGCUUGUGCAUUUCCAACAGGAAAAGGCCCUUAUUUUCCAGCAGACAGAAAUGCCAACUUUUUCUUUUUACGUCAGUUGAAUUUAUUGACAUUAUUAAAAAUGUUUGCUUAUUGUCUAGCAAACACUAUCAAGUUAUCAAGUACUAGGCAGACACAGAAAAAAAUAAGCCUUCAAGGAAAUAUAUAGCCACCAAGAAGAAACAGCCUGAUGGGCUUAUUAAGACCUCACCAGAAAACGUAGAGAAGACACGAACAUCAGAAUCAUAAUCUGACCAUAACUCCCAAGAAAUUUCCUAAGGGGUUGAAUCAUCAGAGAUAGAAGAAUUGGCUGGGGAGGUACAACUAAAUUUUGAUUACGAAACAUUUUAGGGGGCAGCCUGGUGGCUCUGGUUUAGCGCCAUCUUCAGCCCAAGGCCUGAUCCUGGAGACCCCGGAUCAAGUCCCACAUCGGGCUCCCUGCAUGGAGCCUGCUUCUCCCUCUGUGUCUCUGCCUUUCUCUGUCUGUGUCUCUCAUGAAUAAAUAAAUAAAUAAAAUCUUUUUUAAAAGCAUUUUAGGAAUGGGAAUACACAAAGCAAAUUUGGUAUUGUGUGUGUCCAGGAUGGUUAGCUAUUGGAAAUUCAACUACAGAAGAAAAAAAAAAAAAGGGCAAGAGACCAAUGCUAGAGACCGAAGUCUUCAUUUAAUGUGUGUGUGUCCUGGCAAGGAAAUCAUAUGAACAAUUUGUAUUUGUGAGGCACUGCUGUGAGUGAGAAAAAAGUCCCAAUCUUUGAGGAAUGCCUGCAGUGAAAGGAAAAACAAAAAAGGAGAGGAACUGUCAGAAUUGCAUCUAGGGGAAGAAUUGGCAUUUGUCACUUGUCCUGCCAUAGUCCUCAUCUCAAGAUCACCUUUCCACCGUUCCUCCCUUCCUCUUGCAUAAUUAUCCUCCUUUCUACACAUUUACUUUUCUUGGAUUUAAAUCCCUAUCCUAUGUCAUUAGUUUCUUCCUUCACCAAAAACCCAUCAUUGCACUUUCUACUCUGACAGAAAAGAGCAGAAAUUCCUCCAAUAUCCAAUUGCCUCCCCUGUAGGUUUGGCUAAUCUCCCCCUUCUACUACCUGCAAUUUUCAGGUCAGAAAAAAAUCAUACUGUAUUUAGUCUAAAAUAUAAGAAUCCUCUGUAAAACACCAGCACUACCUUAUAUAAGUUUGAAAAUAAUCUUAGAUUGAAUUCAAACAAGUCUCUAAAAUAUAUUUGUUUUAGAGGGACAGCUAGCUGGCUCAGUUAGUAGAGCAUGCAACUCUUGAUCUAAGGGUCAUGACUUCAAGUCCCACAUUGGGUGUAGAGCUUGCUUAAACACACACACACACACACACACACACACACACACAUUUGUUUUAGAGACUGACAUCUCUUUAGAUGUCAUACUCCUUAUUCUUCCUUUAAUGUGAUCACUUUUAGCAGAAAAAUCCCUCACCAAAAUUGAUUCCAUCAAAUGUGUCCUCUAAAUCACAGGUUCUUAGCCAUGAGUUGGCCUCAAGAGAUCUGUUGGGAGUCCCCUUUUCCAUUUCCAAAUCCAGAUUCUAUAAUGUAAUUCAGGGCUACUGUUGCCCCAAACUCCAGGAAGUUCUGCAGGGUUAGCAUCUAGACAGCUCUCAGGACUUCCAACCAAGGACAAAGGACCUCUUCCCUCUUGCCCUGGCACUCACCAGUUUGCCUUCCCCUGCAUCUUGAGCCUUUACACUUGAAAUAGAGCAAGACCAUGACUAAUUCUGCCCAGAAGCUGCUUGGCCUAGAAGAGAUAAAAAUCUCUUCCUCAUUCUACUUUAAAUAUUUAACAUUUAGAAAUCCAUCUGGGUUCCAGAGUAAUUCCACUGAGAAGAUUAGGGAGAUAAAGUACCAGUUGGGAUUUUUGUGUGAAUUUAUUUAAAGGAAUAGCUUUCCCAAGAGCUGUUUGUCAUCAGUAUGCUGAGAAAAUGGACAUGUGGGCUUCCCUGGGUGACACUAUUGAGUGGCUACAGGGCAACAUCAGAGCACUGGUCUCUCUUUAGGGAUUGGGAGUGGAGGCCACCACAGGGGGUAAGAAAUGGAGGUAGAAAUAUGCUGACAGCAAACUGUGGGCUUCAGGUAUUUACUAGUGCCACACUCAGGCAUCAUUCCUAACAAAGAGCAUGCACCAGAGCUAAGUGGGCAAAGGGCAAUAGGUUCUAGCUCUAUGUUUUUAAGGAUCCUUCUGACCAAGAGAUAUUUUGUGAAAUGAUAUAAACAGCUGUCAUUAUUCUCUUGUCCCGUAUAUGUGUCCUCUUUCCCUCCUUUUCUCAGGUCUGUCACAGAUUGAAUGGAGAAGUGAGGACAGAGAAAGAGCCCAGGUAGGGAUCAUGCUCUGUCUGCUUCACAAAGAAGGAACUAGUCCUGUAUUCUUCCACCGUCCCAAGCUACUCUAAGAUCUCCUUUCUCCAACCUGUCUGCUACAGAGAGCUAGCUCCAUGGUGGCAAGUGCAAAAUCCUGAGGGUGCAGUUGCUUUGCAGGAGCCCUGCUGUCAAUUUUUCAGCAAUCCAAAAAUAUUUAAGAGGUAUUAGAGAGUUUACGUUAUAUUCAACACUGGGCUUGGGAUUUGCUGUUGUUUUGUUUUGCCUUUGUAAGCACUUUAAACUACUUGUUGCCAUAGAUUAUGGCAUACUAUAAAUAGAUAAGCUGGAUGCCACUCUGAAGAGGGAAAGUACCAUUUUUGCCCAAUAAGUGCACAUCCUUUGAUCAGUAACAUCAACAAGGAAGAACACAUAAGGCUGGCAGAUAGCUAUUAAGUACAGGUGAAAUUGAAACUUCAAUUUUCAAAUUGCACAGUUCCUAAGGAUUAAAGUAAAUCUUUGGCCAAGAUCUGCAAGAAGACUCCAUCGAGGUAACAUUGCUUGCAGAUUUUCCAGGGAUCUCAGUAUAUAAAAUCCUUGAACAUUUUUUACAAUAUUUUAAUUUUAUAUCAACUUGUUAACCAUCAGAACCUAUGUGGCACAAAUUUACAUGGUGUUUUCUGUUUGUUUGUUGUUUUAAUUUUCAAAAUUUCGGGGUUUAAGGUUAUUUUUUUUAGUACAUUCUACCCUGCAACAUGGGGCUGGAACUUAGGACCCCAAGAUUAAGAGCUUUAUGCUCCACUGACUUAGCCAGCCAGGCACCCCUUAAUUUUCAGAAUUUCUAAACCCACAAGGGAGCAACAAUGACCAAUGCAGUUGGAUAUUUUAGGAAGUUUGAUAGGAUCAAAGCUAGAGAGAAGCAUUAAGUAGUAAUAGAAAUCUCAAGCCUUAUGUCGUAGAAAGGAAAGAAAUAUUUUAAAUCAAUAUUCUAAAUAUAAAGCAGCUAUCAUGCUUGAAAUACAAAUCAUUGAUGCAUUAUGGAGGCAAAUUAUGUUUUUUUUCUCUUUAAAGAUCUUAUUUAUUGAUUUUUACUUAUUUAUUUUUUUGAGAAAGAGAGUGCAAACACGAGCAGGAGGUUGGGGGAGGGCAAAGAGAGAGGGAUAAGCAGAUUCCUGAGCAGGGAGCCCGACUCAGGGCUCAAUCCCAGGACCCCAAGAUCAUGACCUGAGCCAAAGGCAGACGCUUAACUGACUGAGCCAUCCAGGCAUCCAUGGCUCUUUCGAUUAAUCCUUAAUUUCACUGAUUUAGGCAUGUAUCAUAUAUUGCAUUAUAUAUUACCAUAUCUUUUCUUUCUUUUUUUAAAUUCAAUUUGCCAAUAUAUAGUAUAACACCCAGUGCUCAUCCCACCAAGUGCCCUCCUCAGUGCCCGUCACCCAGUCACCCCAUUCCCUUACCCACCUCCCCUGCUGCAACCCUUUGUUUCCCAGAGUUAGGAGUCUCUCAUGGUUUGUCUCCCUCUCUAAUUUUCCCCACUCAGUUCUCCUCCUUUCCCUUAAGGUCUCUUUCACUGUUUCUUAUAUUCCACAUAUGAGUGAAAGCAUAUGAUGAUUGUCCUUCUCCGUACCACCUCUUUUCUGAUGACCUUUAUGUUCUUGGUAGAUUAACUGAUCCAAGGGAACUAAAUUACGUGAAGCCCUCCUCAGAUGUCAGGCACUGGACGACUGGAUGCUUUAUACAUACUCUCCCCAAUAUGGGAGUAAAUAGGUAUUGUUAGCCACAUUUUACAAGUAAGAAAUCUUAGGUUCACAAAGGUAGCCAGGACUGGGCAGAGCCGGCUUUUAAAUUUUCAGAAAACUUCUGCCAAACUUUUCACUUAUUUUUGCAUUUAAAGGUGGUAAGCAUUAGUUGUCUGAAGCCAGGUCCCUUGCUUUGGGGCAUUUUCAAUUUUCGCUGAAUUCUUACACCCUGAUAUUUGUAAUUUCUCUAAGGCCAAUCUUAACUAAAGUAACUAUAUAACAUGUGUCCUUAGCUAACUGGCUAGCCCCAAACUAUAACAAUGUGUUGUCUCUUUUGGGUAGAUCUCAUCACAUUUGUAAAUAAAGGCAUCUGCAUAUUCCUCCUCUGUAUAUGCAAAGGCCUGGCUCUAACCGAAGUGGAUGGUACUGAAAUUAUCAUGAAAUAUGAACAGUCAUAUGAAUGCUACAAAAAAAAAUUUAAAUCAGAGUCCUUUGUGAGAGCUCACCAAACAUCUGAUUUUAUAGAUAAGAAAGCCAAGGCCAAGGCCAAAAGAAAUGUUAAACACAGGUUAACUGGGUUGUCAGAACUGUAUUUAUUUAUUUAACUAUGUGGUCUCCCUGCUGCCUGAUUUGAUAAUGGAUUUGAAGUAGCGUCUAUGUAUAAUAAUUAUAAAAUAAAAUGGAGGGAUAAUUUCCAAAAGCAAGAAUGAUGAAAAUGUUCUAAAAUAAGACAGUGGUGACGGUUAUACAAUCUAUAUCUAUACUAAAACCAUCCAAUUGUGUACUUUAAGGGGAUAAAUUUUAUGAUAUGUGAAUUAUACCUCGAUAAAACUCACUUUUGAUAAAGACUAGUUCUAUAUGCAUUUUUCUAUAUUUAUAUUUAUUUUAUUUUUUUAGAUUUAUUGGCUUAUUUUAGAGAGAGACAGAGAGAAAGCACAUAUAUGUGUGAGAGCAGGGGGAGGAGCAGAGGGAGAAAGAGAGAGUCCUCAGGGAGAUUCCCUACUAAGCACCGAGCCCAACACAGGGCUCCAUCUCAGGACUCCAAUAUCAUAAUCUGAGCUGAAAUCAAGAGCCAGAUGCUUAACCGACUGAACCACCCAGGCGCCCUUAUAUUUAUGUUUUAAAAUAGGAUAGAGGAUAAAACCAUGCAUUAAUGACUUUUUUAAUUUUUAAUUUUUAUUUUUUACAAUCUCUUUUCUGAAUCCCAUGUCAGAGUACUGUUAGUGAAUUGGCCUGCAUCACAUUAGCUUAAUGCAAGAACAUUGAUCUAUUGCCUCCAUUUCUUUGUUGUAGACUAUUAGCCAGUUUUCAAAGUUUCUAAUGGAGUUUUCAAAUAAAACUCUGAAAUAUAUUUCAAAAGAGAGUAUGUUUUUCCCAUGAGAAAUUCUCUGAGUAAACUGAAGGCCAUAAACUAAGCAGUCUUGCUGAUUUUUAUUAAGAAAUAGAAAGUUAAAUCUGUUACUCUUUAUAUAUAGGCAUACAUUUAUGUACAAGCAUAUGUUUUAAGCAGAAUACUUUAAGAUCAGUACACACAAAUUGAUCUAGGACUUUUUCUUCAAAUUUGUCAUAGGAUAUAAGGAGCUCAGAAAAGGGCUUGAAAACAAAGAUAUUCAUCCUAGGAUGAUCAUUAUUUAUAUAAUGAAAAGGUGGAAACAAAUCCAAAUAUCCAAAAGGAAAUUUUAGGGAAUAGUAGAAUAUUGUACAGCACUUUAAAAAUGUAGUUUUUAUUUAUUUUAAAACAGUAUCACUUUUCUGAUCAAAGAAAUAAUAAUAUCCACAUUAUUUUAAAAUUUUAAGCCUCCAAUUAUUUCCCCAAAAUUCCUCCUCUUACGGGAUAAUCAAAAUUAUGUGCUUGGUGACUAUCUUAUAUGAUCACCCUAUAAUAUGGCUUUGCAGCUUGCUUUGUGCACUUUGUAAUGAAUCUUUAUACAUCAGUUCCUGCAGUUUGCCCCGGUCUUUGUUUUUUUUAAACAUUGUUUUUAAAAGUAUUCAAAACUUAGGGAGAUAUUUAUGAUACAGAGUUAAGUUUUGGGAAAAAAAAAAAAAAA
rnacentral:lncRNA from 1 species